GACUCCAACUGCACUGUCUGGAAGAUCCUAACGAGGGAGUGAGGUUAAUUCUGGACUGAAGCAAAGGAUAAAGAUCUGCUGGCAGAGGGUAAUGACUGCCUUGAAUUUCUG
rnacentral:lncRNA from 1 species